UACAGAGGGUGCAAGCGUUAUCCGGAUUUAUUGGGCGUAAAGCGUUUCGUAGGCGAUUUGGUAAGUUACACUUCAAAUACCAGAGCUUAACUUUGGAAAGGGGUGUAAUACUGUCAGAAUUGAAAGAUCUCGGGGUUUAUCGGAACUGUCGGUGUAGGAGUGAAAUCCGUUGAUAUCGACAGGAACACCAAGGGCGAAGGCGGAUAACUAGGGAUUCUUUGACGCUGAGGAACGAAAGCUAGGGGAGCGA
rnacentral:rRNA from 1 species